rnacentral:rRNA from 1 species
UAAAAGUAGCAAUACGUUGGUGGCGACCGGCGCACGGGUGAGUAACGCGUAUGCAACCUACCUAUCAGAGGGGAAUAACCCGGCGAAAGUCGGACUAAUACCGCAUAAAACAGGGGCACCGCAUGGUGAUAUUUGUUAAAGAAAUUCGCUGAUAGAUGGGCAUGCGUUCCAUUAGGUAGUUGGUGAGGUAACGGCUCACCAAGCCGACGAUGGAUAGGGGAACUGAGAGGUUGGUCCCCCACACUGGUACUGAGACACGGACCAGACUCCUACGGGAGGCAGCAGUGAGGAAUAUUGGUCAAUGGGCGGGAGCCUGAACCAGCCAAGUCGCGUGAAAGGAAGAAGGAUCUAUGGUUCGUAAACUUCUUUUGCAGGGGAAUAAAGUGCAGGACGUGUCCUGUUUUGCAUGUACCCUGAGAAUAAGGAUCGGCUAACUCCGUGCCAGCAGCCGC